rnacentral:rRNA from 1 species
GCUUACGGCCAUAUCAGCCUGGGUACGCCCGAUCUCGUCUGAUCUCGGAAGCUAAGCAGGGUCGGGCCUGGUUAGUACUUCGAUGGGAGACUGCCUGGCAAUACCAGGUGCUGUAAGCA